rfam:Actinophytocola sp. 11-183 contig18, whole genome shotgun sequence.
GGGCCGUUAGCUCAAUUGGUAGAGCUGCGGACUUUUAAUCCGUAGGUUCUGGGUUCGAGCCCCAGGCGGCCCA